GGGAAUGUGGCCUAGUGGUAGAGUGCUUGCCUAGCAUGCAUGAAACCCUGGGUUCGAUUCCUCAGUACCA
rnacentral:tRNA from 1 species